CUAGGUUCACAUGAAAGUGGGAAUAUUGGAAUUACUCAGUCACUGAGGCACAAGAAAUGUCUCCUCUCUCCCCAGUUUUAUAGCAUUGUUACUCCACUGCGUCUGGGAAGAAAGUUGAGCAAUCAAGCAAUUUACAUAGAGGAAGGACAGAAAAAAAGGGAGCAUCCUCCACCCUUUGAAUUCUUGUGCACACCAUUGGUAUUGCCCCAAUAUGGACAACACAGGCUCAGCAUUUCUGCAGCAUCUCUCAAGAAGCUGAUGGGUGCCCCAGAAAAGGAAACUAUCCCACUCAUCUAGAGAUGUAGCUGUCUACAAAGCAAUCAGACAAGAAGACAAGGAAAACAUCCUUACUGGAGUCCCAGAAGUCACUCUCCUGUAGCUGAAAGAUCUGUGUGGCAGAGCAAGUAUUUUGCCCUUUGCUCUCUAGCUGCCAUUUCACACACCUGUGCCCAUCCAGGCCUUCUCUUGUCAUGGAGACAAAGCCCAGAGCUGAAGAAUGCCAAGCUGAAGAGAGAAGACCACCAGGAUUUCUGUGGGACUGCAUUCUGAGCACUUAACCACCUCCCCUGCUGCUCUCCAGUAGGUCAGGCUUCAGGAGGAGUCAACACAAAAACCAGAAGCAUUUGCACAUUUGAAAGUUAUUUUUUAAAUACUAAAAUAAACAAGGAAGGUGGGGGAAAGCA
rnacentral:lncRNA from 1 species